GUGAGAGGUGGGGAGGGGGGGGGAUAUGCGCUUCAUCAUAUUUUCACCAUUUGCUGUAGCUGAAUGCAAUUGUUUCUCCUCUCUCUAGUCUAGUCUAGUUGCAGACAUGUGGAUAGAUAUUUGGUUUUUGUUCCUUUUUUCUAUUUCAUUUUUUAUUGUGAUUUAAAGAUAUCUCAUGUUUAAACGUUCAAUGAUUGCUUUCAGAAUUUUGUUUUAUUGUAUACACAUUUACGUACUCCAUAAUCUAUGACAACUUACAUCCCGACAAAACUAUUUUGAAGGUUGACAAAAUGAAUGAAAAAUGACUGGACUGACUGACGUUUUGAAGUGGAAGAAUGAUGCAAGACAGAUGACACCUCAAAGGUGAAGGUGGUUGGAAAACUCUCAUACACGUUUUUCUGUAAAACAAAGUUGUCUGAAAGGCCCAAAUUCAUCACACUUCCCCCAGGAGUUGCCAUGAUGUAAUGGAGAGUAAUACCGCUAAGAGUAAAUGUAAAGUUAGACAUCACAAGCCUGUGGAACCAGUGGUCCGUCGACCAUUCUUGGUCAGUACACGCCGUGUUUACGUGGUCCGGGUUUAAAGAAAAGCUUAUUACAAAACUUUGUGUAAAUGUUUUCUUUCCCAGAAUCAAGAUUAUUCAAUCUAUAUAUAUUCAAAAGGCAUGUCUGGAAUGAGAAUUUAACUUAAUUUGAUGAAGAAGCUUCGAAAAAGUCCUCAACAAAUAGAUCCUCAAUGUAUGUAAGAGGUAGAAAAUAAUACAUGCAAAGCUAAGUCCUUUAUCCUAAAAAGGGUUAGAAGUGAACUCUCUUUGUUAAACACAGGACUUGUUCUCUGUUUUCUAUCAAUCAAGAUGGGCUUCAUUUUCGUAGCUUCAAUAAUGCAGACCAUCAUAUUAUAUCAUUGAAAUGAUCUGCAGCACACAUACACAUUAUAUGCACACAACACCAGAAAAUUAUAUGCCUUUCUAAAUUAAAUUCCCAAUGGUAUACUUUUCACAUCGGAGAUGAGAAUCGUUCCACUACCUGUCUUGUUGGAGACAGAACACUUACCAUUCGACCAUCGGCCCAGUUGGGAAAGGUGAUGUUAAAUGGUGGUUUAAUUGGUCCAGUGCUUACCUAAUUCUCGUAGCUACGGGUUCAAGCAAUCUAAAACAUGCUAGAGAAGAAUAUUUGUGGAAGAAUUGUCAAUAUGAAUGCUAGAUUGGAGUGUCCUAUUAAUCAACCUUAAAGAAUACAUCUCUGAUCAUAUGUUUUAAAAUCCAAACAUCUAAUUUUAGUCUUCAAAGUUGCCUCCUCCUUGGCUGACCUCACCCCCAAGGAUUUGAUUAUUUUUCCAACGCUUUUACUAGAUUCAAGUUUCAUGUACAUUCUUUUUCAAAUGAUUUCAUUCAUCCACCUGAUGCUUAUUCUUUGCCUCCUCUCCCCUUUUUUUUAGCUACAGAGCUACAUUCCACCAAGACCAUGAAAAACGGCCCAAAGCACGUAUAUCCUGCCGGAAUGUGCCUUUCCUUCCCCAUUCACAGUUCCUCAUAACAUUAUGCGCUGUGCUGGAGUGGUUACUGGUGGUAGUUGCUGCCUCUCUCUGUUGCUCACACCAUUAUUCCUCCCAGCAUUACUUGCGUUGCUGUGUGCGUUGGCUCCUCUGUUGUGCGUAUACGACACAUUUUGUGCAAGCCAAAAAAAGCAACGAAAGGUACAGCAUAAAAUCAUACCCGGAGCCAAAAGGGAGCAUAGUUGGAGUCCUAUUUAUACCACCACCAUAAUAUUAUCCCACUUCUCCCCUUUCGUUCGCUCAACUCCAGCGCUCCAAACCGGAGAGUGGAAAUGUAUUGGAAUUAUGACGCUCGACGACGACGACUGGCAGAAGGAAACUGCCGUUCUGGUGUGUUGCAACAUACUAGCAGUAGCAUAGUGCGCCGCAUAACCAUCAUUCUUCCCUCUCUGUUACCCUUGGUGGUUGGGUGGUUUGCCCUUUACUCUCCUGUGUCACACUGGAUAUAUGUGCGUGGUGUGUGGUGGAGUUUGUUUUCGUUGCCGACGCGAGACGACGACGCCGCCACCGCGUGGUGUUGAUACAACCCACCACCACCAAAAACUACCCGACCGACCAUGCUUUUCUUGGCCCUCACAGCGCUGAUGCGUGCGUGUGUGUCACUGUGUGAAUCAGUGUGUGUGUAUCUAUGAUGUGCCCACGUUAGGGUUUUCUUCGGGGCUUUGGUGUGUGGAUUUCUCCUAGAUCUGCUCCCGGUGGUGUCGGUGGAUGGUUUUUGCUUGUACUAUUUUCACCACCUUCACCACCACCACCAGUGAUUGACGUUUUCCUCACCACCACCAGAGCAAUCGACAAGUCAUAAAGAAGGGGGAUGGAUGGCGGAUGUGUGUGUGUGUGUGUGUGUUACACACGGUCACACGCGCGUGUGUAUAAUUUGCGCUCUCUGCGGGUGGUGUGUGGUGAUCACACCGAUAAUGUGUGGUGUUGUGAUGGGUGGUGCCUCUGUGUGUGGUGUGUGAUGUACGCUUCCCAGAUCAGAUGUUUUUGCGUUUGGCUUCGCUUAUGCUUUCUAGUGUUCGUAGAAAGACGGUGCUUUUUGCGCUGUUUGUUUUGAUUACCAUCUUCAUAGAGUAGUCGUACGAGAGCUUUUUAAACGGUGCAGUGUGCGGUGUCCCUUUGUUGUUGUACUAUUCAGAGAGCAGUGUUCCUAGUUUAAAGUCGUCGUAGGUUUAAUUCUCUGACUACGGAGUUGUGGGGGUGGUUUCACCCUCUCUAGAGCCAACAGUAUCAAUGGAGACUCGAAUGGUCCUGUCAUUGAUUGCUCCGACUAUGUUCGUCCCACAGUUCAGCGGUGUUGAAAUAAGGGAUUUUGCGGAUUGGAAAUCAAGCUUACGAUCAUGGUCUAUUGAGGAUAGAGGUCGAAGGUAUUCUACUUCUACGUUGUGAUGAUCCCUGCUACGUGAUUAAUUACGAAGUUCUUAACAUCUAGCCUGCUAAUAUGGUGUACGUACACCGAAAUAACGAACUCGAGUAAAGCUUGUUAGAGUAUAGAGCGUAUAGUCAUUGAAAAUGUAUCGUUAGAGAUAGCUUGGGAUAUUUGGGAAAAUGAAGAAUUAUCAAAAACUGUUGAAAAACCGCAAAUCCUCUGAGAACAUCAACGAAUUACCUCCGACAGGACAUCAAGUUUGUCAUUUUACAAUGCUGUAUGGUUCGUCUGCCAUCCUCAAUACACUUUGCUAACGUUUUGAAGAAAGGUCUAGAAAGGUCCUUGUAAAGCAAUUGCAAGGUAGAAAUGAUGCCCAAGUAUGAUAGGCUCAAAGUUUCUGUAAAUACGAUUCUUGUGUGUAUCCUCUCAACAAGCAACGACACACACAGGCUGGCGGCCCUCUGCUCCGGCACUACCGGUGUACAUUGGCAUGACGAGGUGGUGUACAGCACCACCACUACAGGACGAUGACAGCGGGGAGACACAAAACAUACACAACAGCAAAAAAGGACACACUUGCGCUCUGUUCUCCUGUGCCUUGCGCGCACACACUUCCACACUUGCCUGCUGCUGGUACUGCUGCCUCUGCUGGUAUGUCCACAAGAGGGAGAGGGAUACACGAGUGUGUGCGCGCGCGACUGUGUAUUGGAGGAGAUCCUGAUGGUGGUGAAGGAUUCCUUUCCGGCGUGUUGUCCUCACCCUGCAACUCACACUCACUAAAACCAGUGUAUGUGUGUGUGAGUGUACAUUGAAGGUAGUGCUUUAAAUUUGGGCAUUUAUUUUCCAACUGUGGGGUGUGUAAUAAUACUUCUUGUGCCUGUAGGCCCCCUUCUAUCUUCACUUCCCUUCUGUGUUCGAUGUUUUUGGAAACAUUCCAUUUCCGCGCGUGUGCGUGUGUGUGUGUAUGUUUCGGUAUGUCGACAGUGGUAUGCAUCGUUUCGGUGGAUAAGUGUGUACUUUUGUGGGUUUGUGUGUGUCUGCACCUUGCUCGGUUAAUGAUGUGUUGGAGGAGGAAAAUGCACACAGUGAAUAGAAAACUGGGCUUUUAGGAAGGAGUGGGAGAGGAGGGGGUGUGUGUUGGUUUUUAUACCGAUCCAACUGGUCCGGCCCCGUGGUUUCGGUAGGUGUGUGGCACAGAUAGGCACAAAACGUGUAACGUGCGUGCGCGUGUGUGUGUGUGUGUAUCUAGAGUUUGUUUUUGUUUUGGAAACAGGUUGUGUUUGUUUUCACGCAAAGGGGUGUUUGGGUAGAUGGUAUGGGGUGUGGAAGGUGGUGCGCUCCGAGGCUUGUUGGGUGUUGGUAUGCGCGCACUUUAAAUCACAAAGCAGCAGCAGCAGCAGCAAGAGGCCCCUCCUUCUCGGACCUGCUGUAUGGUGGAGCCGUGUGUUUUGGCACACGCAGAAGAGAGCGUGCUGCGUGCGUAUAUGUGUAUAGUGCCCCAACACGCUGAAAAGCACCCUUACACGCGCUUCUCAUUUCCCCCUUGUAUCUCAUUCGGCAUCACAAUCCCAAUACCGUCAGCAACAUCUCUCGAACACAGCAAGUGCAUGUGUAUAGAGAGGCGUGUGUGUUGCUGCUGCUGCUUGUAGUGUGUGAAGAUCGCGGGGAAGGUCUGGGAACAAGUCGUCGUAGUAGCCUCGUCCAAAAGCGGGUUGGUUUGGGGACUACCCAUACACACCGGCGCGGCACGUUUCUUUUGCUGCUGCUGCUUGGUACGGUGUGAUUCUUGCUGUUGUUGUUGUCUGCUAGCUGUCCAUCGUGUCGGUUCGUGCUGCUACUGCUCCUCUAGAAAGUGUUGCGUCUGUAGCUCUGUGAUUAGGACAGGAAUUGGAUAUUGAGUUAGGGCAACGACACAUUGAACGUUGCGAGUCAAAGUUGAAUGCGCGCGGGAUACUGGUACCAGACCUAUACCCCUUGGAUUAGUACUCCUGGUUAAUGUGUUACCUUGGAGAGUGUUCAGAGACACAGAUCGGAGUGCUGGAAGUAGCAAUAAAAUACAGUAGCAGAGGGUUAGCACCAGGGUCCAUCAAUCACAGACUCUUUGGUGUGUUCGGCAGUGUGCUUAGCAACGGGGAGAAUCACCUUUUGCGUUCCUUGGCGCUGGUUGGCGUCAUUGGAGAUUGCAUCACCGUAGCCGGGGGAUCGAUCCCACCAAGAAGCUCUCUACGAGAGGAGGCCUCUGCAGAAGCCGAACGGAAAGCGCUAAUCUAACAUUUUAACACACAGACAGGAAAGGCCUAAUUAGAGCUUCUGUCCGAAAAAAGGUGGUGGAUUCUGCUACAAAAUCACAAAAAAAAAAAGAAAUCUACCAAAGGUCAACUCCAUCAUGGCGCACGAUGGAAGAAAAGCCGUUGGUGAAUUUUUCACCGUAGCUACAAGCUACAACAUUAAUAAGUGAGCCCACCUUCUUGCAUAAUCAAACGAAUCGACCUCGAAAUGGCCCGACGACGACGCGGCCGUGCGAGUUUUUCGAUUGCGUCACCAUCCGAGGCGUGUUAGCGCGCUAGCUCUCGGUGCGUGCUGUAGCGUCUUUCUGCAGUGAAAAAGUCACCACAAAUCGUGUUUCUGCUGGUCGUCCCGUUUUAACAACAGUUGGACGCUAUUUAAAUAUUGAAAAUAUUUGUAAAAAUCUACUUUUCUGCAUAGUAGCGCUACGCAAAAUGCUUGUAGAAGCGAAAUUUUCGCUUGCUGUUCGAGCAAAAUCCAAUAUGGCGGCUUUGGUGGUGUGGUGAAAAAGGUUAGCAGAAUCAAUAAGCUGUGCAUGUGUAUGUGUGUUGUAGCGCAGCACAGCGCGCACAAGAGAGAUAUCAAUACUAGGCAGCGAGGAAAGAGCAAGAGAAAAGACGCUGUUCGUAUUACAUGCGGAUGGGAUGUAUAUAUGUGUGGGUACAGUGUUAGCUCCGCUCGAGAGCUAUGUAUAUAACCACAUCAUCAUCAUUAGCCUACGGCGUAAUUUUUUUCUCCGUUUGAGUCACCCUGUGUUGAGGCUUUGAAAUCAAAAACUCACACAUACACGCCGACAGCGUUAGUUUCGCUUUGUAGAAUUUAAGCGGGAAUAUUUAGUCGUUUCGUUUGAUGUUAAUUGACUGCAUUCAAAUAUGAUAUUUUUCUAGGUCAAUUUAGAGUUUCUAAUGACGCGCUGUUGCCUAUGUAUUAUCUAUAUUUGUAAUAUGGAAGCGCUUUCUAGAAACAUUUCAUUAUAGGUCAUUAGGCUGCUUAGCAAAUGGUGCCAGACUGAUUAGCGUGGUCGUGAUAAAUGGCCUUUAUUCGUGUUCCUGUAAUCUUUCUUUGCCGUUCCCUGUGGGCUGUUUUCAAAAACGCUCAACACUCGUGACCAUCCAUGGUGGUGGAAAAAUCCCCCAUGGCUGAUGGAUGCGCGCGCGCGUGUGUGUGCGGCUAUGUAUAUGCAUGUGAGAAAUAAAGCCGGCUCAAUUUUAAUCGGAAAAGAAAAAAAAAUGGGAAACACCAACACACACGACUCGAAAAAGAUAUGCCUGAGCUAUACAACACAUAAGCAUACGCUUUCCUGUGUAUUUCGUGUUAAUAUAAGCGUAUACACAGCAGCGCGUAUUCGUACACGCUUCGUACACGCGUGCUGCGUUGCCGUUGUGUGCGAGCAAUGUUCUUUCCACUCACCACUCUUUUUUCACCACUCUCUCACCACUCCCGUUUUGCUCGGUGCUGCUGCGUAGGGUCGACCCCAUGCGCUCUGCGCAUGAUCCGUGCGCAACUUCCCGGGGCUUGCAUGUAUGUACAUCUCUAUGUGUAUGUGUUUGUAUGAGAGAGAAGAGAAGAGGGUCUUGUAUUAUGCAGUGCGCUUCGACGAUAGUGUGUGCUCUUUCGCGCGAGCAUACAUUUUUGCAUUCUUGUUGUCGCUUUCGGUGGCAGUGUGGGGAGAUGGUGAUGGAAGAUAGAUGAUGUUGACGGGGGUGGGAGGGGGACUGAUGGUGGUGAUGGCCUGUUGUCAUGCAUCGAAGCUCAUAACUCACCACUCUGCCUCCCAAUCAAUCCCGCGCCUUUUUGGUGAUCAAGUAUUGUGGGUAGGGGUGGCUCGAGAAUUGGUGGUGGUGGAGGAGUUAAUAAAAAAUGCAAUCGACUUCUUUUUAAUUCAUUUCGAUUGACGUUUGAUUGAAUGUUGACGGAGGCGGAGGAACUAGUUUUCCAGUAUUGCAUUUGAGAGAAGAAUAGAAACUUUCAGUCAUUUUUUUAGUAUAUUAAGAGUUUACUUAAUUAUUAUAUUUAAUAAUUACUGUAUCAAGUAGCUAAAACUGUCACCAAUAAAUAAAGUAAAUAAAAUUGAUGACUCUAAAGUACGCUUAGCUGCAUAACACGACCACACACACACAUCUUCUGAAUCCAAUUUCACCCCUCCCAGCUAAGAAAUGCUCUGGCAAAAAGGGGGCGUCAAACAUUUCAAUAAGCGUGUGUGUGUAUGUGUGCAUGUUCACGAUCGAGAUGAAAUCGCACCGGGGGAUUUUCAACAUUUGGGCGGGAAAAUCCACCGAAUGGCAUUAGCUUUGUAACAAACCUCCCCCCCCCACCCUUUCGUCUUCUGGCUGCUCUCUCAUGUUGCUAUUGCCUCCAAGGGGGGAAGAACAUUCAGAUGAAAAACACCACCACCGCGCACCCCCUCCCAGUCAGUCCACACGCACACACGAUUCGAAUUUCAAUCAGAGCGAAAUCGUGCUUUCAAAGGCUUCCUUUCCGUCCUUUCGUUCGGCUGUGUUGCGCUAUACGAUGCUGCCCGUAUGCUUUAUUUAUUUUGUUUUCUCCUCCCCCGUUUGCGCUUCAAUGGCGCAAAAACCGCAACAUUACUUUGCCCCGCUGUUGUGCUCGUUGCAAAAUGCAAUUUAUUUCGCCCCGAGCGGGCUGGAAGCUCCCAAUGACGACGAUGGUGAGAUGAUGUUGCGUCAUGGGCAGCAGCAGCAGCUCAGCAGCGUCGGAGUUGUUCAAACGCGGGCAAAGAAACACACUGAACGUAUACCGCCAUCGGUCCCAUCAUCAUCAACAUUGCAGCAGCAGCAGCAGCAUGGGUUUUUCGGCGUGCAAAAACGUGAGCUCGUUCGUGACUUGUCCGGGGUAUUGCUAGCUGGGUGGGGUUUCGUCCCCUCCCCCAAAGCCCAUCAAAACGUCCCGAAAUGUUGGUAGGGUAAUGAUGUGAUGAGAAAGCGGAGGAGGAUGUGGAGAAGAUAGUUCCAGCUACUAACGAGCUUUGGUGUGCUGCAAAUUGUGAAGCUCCGGUGUGCAUACAAGGUUGCGCCUUGUUGGACAGGAGGCAGUUUGUGAAGCAAUGGUUUUGCUACGGUUUGAGCGAGCGACGCGCGUUUUUUGACAUUUGAGCUGUGAGCAGUAAUUUGUAAUGUGUGCCUUCCUGUGCAUCAAGUAGCUGUGACGAAGGUAUACUCCUGCUGGCAUCCAUGAUAUGGGACGUGUGCCAUGGUGAGGAUUAUGUUUUUGAGUUUGUUUGGUCCACAUUCGAUUUAUCUGUACAACAAACCUUGCUAUUGUGUUCGAUUUUUAAACAAACCUACUUUUUAUGAACUUAACUUAGUAAAUUAUUUGUCGCUAUACAUAUCAAUAAACAACCAAAAAUAAUAAUUACA